ensembl:lncRNA
GUCAGUCAGGCCGCGCGGCGGAGGAACGAGUCGGCGACACCUGCGAACAAAGUGAUAACCGACUUCCAGCGCGCGAACGCGCGUGAAGCUGACGCGCGCGUUCACGCGGAAUACGUCGUUCCAAAAGGUGUUCGUGACACGGAGGAGCGAGCAACGGGAUUAUAAAAAAAAAAAAAAAAAAACACAAAGAAAAAAAGUUCAUUUGAAGACUUCGAGUGAUGCGAUUUUAAGUGGAACCCGGAGCGGGAGCAGAGGCACGAGCGCAGGCUUCUGGUGGAUGGAGAGACGAUGGAGGGGAACAGAACAGAGGUGCCCCUGUAUGGACAGGUGGAGGCCCUGGUGAGCUCACCAGCCGACGCCCCCGACCGAGCGGAGUUUUACGUCGUUGUGCGAGGCUCCGCCCUCACGCACGUGACCGCGGCGAAACGAGGAGCCGACGGACGGACCCUCUGCUACACGGUUCCUGGCCACGCCCCCGCGGAAGCCGCCGCCGUCACGUCCUACUUCUACGCGGCGGGGCGGGGUGGAGCCGUGCGAGGGCCGGGCCUCCCUCCAGUACCUGGCGGACGCGGCCCAGGAGGCGGCAGAGCACCUGAAAGCGAACCGCGAGCGGCUCGGCCCCCGGAGCCACCUGGAGGUGCUGGAGAGGUUCUCCGCCGCGGGGUUAGAGCGCCGCGAGGAGGAGGAGGAGGACGGGAUUUCAGGUGGGGAGUCCGGUCUGGGGAAGCUGGAUGAGAAGAUCACACAAGCCAUGGCCAACAUGGAAUACCCUCAGCAGUGGAGUGAGGCCGACGCUCAGCCCAGAGAAGCCGCUGAGCUUCAGCCCAGAGAAACCCUCCUUCACCUGGCGGUGCGCCUGGGUUUGGUCCACCUCUCGCGCUUCUUAAUCCACCAGCCCCGAGGUCAAAGGGCACUGACCGCGCCCAACCAGGAGGGGCACACCCCCCUCCAGCUGGCCCAGAGGGACGGAC